rnacentral:rRNA from 1 species
UACAGAGGUCUCGAGCGUUGUUCGGAUUCAUUGGGCGUAAAGGGUGCGUAGGUGGCUCUGUAAGUCGGGUGUGAAAUCCUGAGGCUUAACCUCGGAACUGCAUUCGAUACUGUGGUGCUUGAGGACUGGAGAGGAGACUGGAAUUCAUGGUGUAGCAGUGAAAUGCGUAGAGAUCAUGAGGAAGACCAGUGGCGAAGGCGGGUCUCUGGACAGUUCCUGACACUGAGACACGAAGGCCAGGGGAGCAAACGGG